GGCAUCCGUUCCGUCGCCGAGUGCCGAGUGGGCGGCGACUUGAGGGAAGAAAGACCGGGAGGGAGACGCCGGGCGACCGCGAAGGGAGAAAGCUGAAAUACAGGAUGUAGGUUGUCUAAUGGACCUGGAACGACGGAGGAAGCUGGACUUAGGAUCCAUUUCUGCCUGUCUCCAAAGCCCUGCCUAUACCAAACAUCAGGCCGCAGCCCUGUCUCCGUGAUGACUGCCUUUCUGCACUUCCUGCCAGCCACCCUCAUGUCUGGCCUUCUGGGUUUGUGUUCUUUGUCUGGGGCUGUUGAUGGACCACCAGGAGGUCCCUGGGUAUCCUGUCAGUGUUUCCCAGCCCCUAGAGGAUGACUUGGGAUGGCAUCCCAGGUUCUGACACGUACUUAGAAAAUUCUGCACAGGCAGCAGCAGGUAGACACCGAUGUUGAAAUGAAUUGUUUCUAAGCUGACGGCCAAGAAGGAAUUCUUGAAAAGGUUUUGGUGCAAAAAAAAAAAAAAAAAAAAAAGGUGGUUUUGUUAAAGCAUGGGAACAGGACCUGUAGGCAGAAAGCACUGCACUGAGAUUAUGAAGACUGACUACUAAAAGGUUUUCCAUCCUGUAGAGGGGAGGGUGACCUUAAGGCUCCAGGAAAUUGAGCCUAUAGGUUCCUGGAGGUCCAUUGUUAAACAUGGUGUUUUUCUUGUAAAUCAUUAAGACAGUUAGAAGCUGGGCGCCUGGGUGGCUCAG